AUUGAACGCUGGCGGCAGGCCUAACACAUGCAAGUCGAACGAGUGGCGGACGGGUGAGUAAUGUCUGGGAAACUGCCUGAUGGAGGGGGAUAACUACUGGAAACGGUAUCUAAUACAGCAUACCAUCAGAUGUGCCCCGAUGGGCUUAGCUAGUUGGUGGGGUAACGGCUCACCAAGGCGACGUUCCCUAGCUGGUCUGAGAGGAUGACCAGCCACACUGGAACUGAGACACGGGCCAGACGCCUCCGUGAGGCAGCAGUGGGGAAUAUUGCACAAUGGGCGCAAGCCUGAUGCAGCCAUGCCGCGUGUAUGAAGAAGGCCGUCGGGUUGUAAAGUACUUUCAGCGGGGAGGCGUUACCCGCAGAAGAAGCACCGGCUAACUCCGUGCCAGCCGCCGCGGUAAUAC
rnacentral:rRNA from 1 species